rnacentral:misc_RNA from 1 species
GCUUUGCCUGCCAUCUCUUACCCAUGUCUUUUGAGUACCUUCGUUUCCUCGGCGGGUCCGCCCGCCGAUUGGACAAAACUUAAACCCUUUGUAAUUGAAAUCAGCGUCUGAAAAAACUUAAUAGUUACAACUUUCAACAACGGAUCUCUUGGUUCUGGCAUCGAUGAAGAACGCAGCCGAUCAUUACCUAGAGUUGCGGGCUUUGCCUGCCAUCUCUUACCCAUGUCUUUUGAGUACCUUCGUUUCCUCGGCGGGUCCGCCCGCGAUUGGACAAAACUUAAAC